AUGCAUGAUAAUGGCAGCUUGGUGUUCGCCUACUACAAGGACGGAGCUGCUGAUCCAACUUUCCUCUACUUCGCACAUGGGCUGCAAAAGAUCAACUGCUAA
rnacentral:rRNA from 1 species